rnacentral:lncRNA from 1 species
AUCCUUUGGCUCCUGGCUGUGGCUGGGGACACUGGAAAUGCCCCUCUGGAGGCCACCACCAAAAUGGGCUCAGGACAGAACUUCUUUUCCCAGCUCAGAGCAGACAGCUCUAUGGCUUGUCUUCCCUCCAUUGCUGGGACACUACCACUCUGUGAGGAGAAGAAGUAUGAAGUGCUUGCUUGGACCUUUCUACUGUGCUUAUUAUUCUGUCUUCUCCUCAUGGCAAAUUUCUUUUUUAUUUUCAUUUAUUAAAUACAGAAGAAAUAUUUCGCUGAAGACACAGGAAACCCUAUUUUGUAUAAACGAGGGAUUGCAAGAGAUUGUUGGAAGAUCAAAGAUGGGUGAAUUGGAGG